rnacentral:tRNA from 2 species
GGGCCCGUGGCUCAAUCUGGGAGAGCAAUCGGCUCUUAACCGAUCGGUUGUGGGUUCAAAUCCCACCGGGCCCG